UAGAAAUACCGCACUGGUGGGGUAUGGAUUCGAAGCCUCUAGAAGGAUAACAAAGGCUCUCCAGAGUCCCCGGCGUACAGAGCGGUAACAUGUCUCUCCAAAUAUCUGAGCUUGCGUAUACGGGGAAACCCAACCUUUGAGAGGAUGGGUGGUAUGACUAAACUGAGAGAA
rnacentral:ribozyme from 1 species